rnacentral:rRNA from 1 species
GUAGGUGGCAAGCGUUGUCCGGAAUUAUUGGGCGUAAAGCGCGCGCAGGUGGUUCGUUUAAGUCUGAUGUGAAAGCCCCCGGGCUCAACCGGGGAGGGUCAUUGGAAACUGGGGAACUUGAGUGCAGGAGAGGAAAGUGGAAUUCCACGUGUAGCGGUGAAAUGCGUAGAUAUGUGGAGGAACACCAGUGGCGAAGGCGACUUUCUGGCCUGUAACUGACACUGAGGCGCGAAAGCGUGGGGAGCAAACAGGAUUAGAUACCCUGGUAGUCCACGCCGUAAACGAUGAGUGCUAAGUGUUGGGGGGUUUCCGCCCCUCAGUGCUGCAGCUAACGCAUUAAGCACUCCGCCUGGGGAGUACGGUCGCAAAGACUG